rnacentral:rRNA from 1 species
UACGUAGGGACCGAGCGUUGUCCGGAAUCAUUGGGCGUAAAGAGCGUGUAGGCGGCUAUUUAAGUCCUGCGUGAAAUCCUGCGGCUCAACCGCAGACGGUCGUGGGAAACUGGAUGGCUAGAGUGCGGGAGAGGAGAGUGGAAUUCCCGGUGUAGCGGUGAAAUGCGCAGAUAUCGGGAAGAACACCCGUGGCGAAGGCGGCUCUCUGGAACGCAACUGACGCUGAGACGCGAAAGCGUGGGGGAGCAAACAGGG